GAAACCGGGGCUAAUGCCGGAUAACAUUUAGAACCGCAUGGUUCUAAAGUGAAAGAUGGUUUUGCUAUCACUUAUAGAUGGACCCGCGCCGUAUUAGCUAGUUGGUAAGGUAAUGGCUUACCAAGGCAACGAUACGUAGCCGACCUGAGAGGGUGAUCGGCCACACUGGAACUGAGACACGGUCCAGACUCCUACGGGAGGCAGCAGUAGGGAAUCUUCCGCAAUGGGCGAAAGCCUGACGGAGCAACGCCGCGUGAGUGAUGAAGGGUUUCGGCUCGUAAAACUCUGUUAUUAGGGAAGAACAAACGUGUAAGUAACUGUGCACGUCUUGACGGUACCUAAUCAGAAAGCCACGGCUAACUACGUGCCAGCAGCCGCGGUAAUACGUAGGUGGCAAGCGUUAUCCGGAAUUAUUGGGCGUAAAGCGCGCGUAGGCGGUUUCUUAAGUCUGAUGUGAAAGCCCACGGCUCAACCGUGGAGGGUCAUUGGAAACUGGGAGACUUGAGUGCAGAAGAGGAAAGUGGAAUUCCAUGUGUAGCGGUGAAAUGCGCAGAGAUAUGGAGGAACACCAGUGGCGAAGGCGACUUUCUGGUCUGUAACUGACGCUGAUGUGCGAAAGCGUGGGGAUCAAACAGGAUUAGAUACCCUGGUAGUCCACGCCGUAAACGAUGAGUGCUAAGUGUUAGGGGGUUUCCGCCCCUUAGUGCUGCAGCUAACGCAUUAAGCACUCCGCCUGGGGAGUACGACCGCAAGGUUGAAACUCAAAGGAAUUGACGGGGGACCCGCACAAGCGGUGGAGCAUGUGGUUUAAUUCGAAGCAACGCGAAGAACCUUUACCAAAAUCUUGACAUCCUUUGACCACUCUAGAGAUAGAGGUUUUCCCCUUCGGGGGACGAAAGUGACAAGGUGGUGCAUGGUUUGUCGUCAGCUCGUGUCGUAGAGAAUGUUGGGUUUAAGUCCC
rnacentral:rRNA from 1 species